GGAUCGGGCCUUCUCCGGUGCACCAAGCGGGCCUAGAAGGAACCACAGGGGCCGCGGCCGAGCCUCCGCUCCAGGGCCUCCCCCCUGCCUCCUCCGUCAGACUGGAGGCUCCGGAACUCCGACGAGCGCGUUCUCUGCCCUGCGGCUGCCGGCUCUCCGCCCAGGCUGCGGUCUCCUAAAGCCCCUUGCCUCCCCGCUCCCCCACCCUCCCACACACAAUGCCUGACCCCUCUCGGCUCAUUGCUCUUCCUGAGUUCACCUAUUCUUCCGGCCAAAGCCUGAACAGUGUCCCCGUCUUUGCUGUCACCGCCCGCUCCUCCUGCUCGCUCUGCGGGGCCCUCAUUUUCCCAGCUUGGCUUUCUGGCCGUCUGUCCUCCCAGUGUUGGGGCUGCAUGCACCUGGGCUCUCUGGGCCUCUUGGUCAUUCCGUAUUCCUGCUCUUUCCUCUCUUCCCCUUCUCCCCCACUGUCCACCCAAGCACAGCGGUCCCCUUAACCUCUUUCCUCUCCCACUUCCAUCCAGUCCAUCACGUCUUAGGGACCCUGCUCUUUUCCUCUCAAAUUAGCCACAUUCUCCCUUCCCAGUGACCUCUGUCCUACCCAGGCCACUACUCUGGCCCAGACAAUCAACAUCUCUUCCCUGGAGCUGGCAUGGUCUGGUGUCAGCAGAUAGGCAGGAAGCAUUUUUCUACACUGAAUCUGAACCUGCCACUCUCUGCCUAAAACCAUCCAUGACUCCCCAGAGUUGUCCAGAUAGAAUGUAAAAUCUCUUCUUGUCUCUACAAACUGGCCCCUGGUCCUGUCACCACUCCCUCAGGGCUUGCCAACUUCCUUGCUUUCUGUCGGGAACACCCACUCCCCUGUUGUCCCCUUGCUGUCCCCCACUGUCUGCUACUCAUCCUUCAGACCUCUGGACUUUCUCCCAGCUCCCAGAUCAGAUCAGCUCCUCCUCUGCCCUUCCACUCUACACCCUCAGGACACCAUGAACUUCCCUGUGCACAUGGAAACUGAGGUCACUGUUUGGGAGUGGAGUCUGUUUCCUGUCUGUGUCCUCACUGGUGGUGAGGGACAUGGCUGGGCCUAUCUUGCUCAGAACUGAAGCCCUAUGCCUGGCACUGUGUCUGCUUGCCACUGGCCCUCCAUAUUGGAGGAAUUUGUACAAGGCUGAUGUCUCCCCUCACCCUGGACCUCUUCAUAUUCUCCACCCCUGGGGCCAUGGUCCAGACAGCGGGGGAGAAAGGCCUCCCAUCUGUUUCCCAUCUGUCUAAGGGAGGAGUAACACUUAGCUCCUAGUGCUGUUUUGAGGGUUAAGUAAGAGUAUACUUAUUCAGCGCAUGGCACAAAGUGGGUGCCAGCAACAGCCUCUCCCUCCUCUGGCCACAGGGCUUCGGGUACCAGCCUAUGUUUGGGGGUAUAGAAGCCUCCCUGGGGUUGCUUGGGGUAGCAGGGGAGAGAAGGGUCCCCUUUCCCAGAUAAAACCCUGUUUAAUUCUCUUGACAGCUCUGGGAGGUCCAUGUUGUGCCUAGUUCACAGAAGUGUAAGAGGCAAAGAGACCUGCCACAGACAAGCCAGACUGAUCAGUGUCCUCCCCCUCUGCAGAGUGACCUCCCUGGUCUGCUUGGUUUGUCCUGUGGAUGUGCAGAUGUGAUGGCCUGGGAGAGCACGGAGAGAAUCCAGCCCUUUGCUGGCGCGGCCUCCACACACCAUGCCUUGCGGCUUCUCCCCAGAGUAGCCACGGCCUCCACUAAGACUUCAGAGCAGAACAGUGGGCCUGACUCAUGUCACCAGAGCAGAAUUUAAGGAUGGUGAUGAUUUGCCUAACCGAGGUGGAAGCCUAUUUCACCUUGCUUACAGCUGGAGCAUUCGCUGUGCAGGGUGCUCUGCCAUCCCUGAAGUGUGUCUGUCACUCCGCUUGUCCUUCCAGCUGAAGAUGCUCCUGGCUGUUCUCCCUCCCCUGAGUCUGCAGACCAACCAGAGGGAAUGGAGAUGGGAACCCUCCCCCUCCUUCUAAUGAAACAUCACCCAAUACACACAUCCAGAAUGCCACUUGUCAGAAGUAGGUCACGUGGCCACACCAGCUCCAAGGGAGACUGGGAAGUGCGUACUGGGAGACAGCUAGGAGUCUGCCGCCAGGGUGUGGCACCUCCAUUCUGUGACAAAUGACUUUGCUAAUGAGGCACUGAGCUCCUGGCACUGGGAAGGAAAGCAGAAGCUGGACUCCGUGGGAAUCCUCCAGGCAGGGCCCAGUUCUAGGGGGCAGCCUUCUGCCCAGGGCUUGGUAUCCAGGCAUCUAUCUGCGCAGUCCGGAGUCGCCGGGAUGCAGAGACCGAGGGGCCGGCACGCCCCCUGGCGGCGAGACUGCGCACCUGCCCCUGCCGCGGCGCUCAGGGCCAGGAGGCCAGAUUCCCCCUCCGCUGACCUCCCGCAUGGAGGACCCCAUCCAUCCUGCGGCAGAACGGAUUACUGGGGACGGGGUCGAGGUGCGCGAAAGAGGAGGAGACAAAACACUGCAGCUAAAAAUUGCAGGGCACCAAGCCCCGUGAGGCGUCGGGGUUGGGUCGGAUUUACCCGUCGGUGAGGUUUAUCAAGCUGCUCCAACGAGGUCCCCUAAAAUCCUCUUACGGCUCAGUGACAGCAUCACUACCCACGUCCCUGCCCUACCGCCUGGUCGCUGCCUGAGUCUCAGCCCAAAUUCUGGCCCCAGUAGUUGUCCCCAGCUCUGAUGGACCCACCCCACCUGCAAGGUUGCCUGGCUUGGUCCCUUGUGUGGCAUCCAGCCCAGGCCUGCAGAGAUUUGCUUCAUCAGGCCAGACGUUCUUUGAAAUUUGUGGUGUAGUUAGAUUGGUAUUAAGAGUGCCCUUUCCGUGACGGCUCACUUCCUGUCCUGUGGAAAGCCCACAGUGUAGUUUACUGUUCUGUGAGUAGUUCCUCACCGCGUUUAACUGGCUGUCUGAUGCACUUUCUUUUGUGUCUUGACUAUCGUAAUGAUAAAAGACUUUUAUUGAGUAUGUUUGAAGUAUUACAAAAGGCAGGUUGCUUUUUAUUCUAUCCAUGUUUGGGAUUUUGAGGAAGAAAUUUUAUUCUUUUAUGUUAGGAGGGUCAGAAACUCUGCACCUUUGUACAUAAUAUAGUUUUUAGCAAUAAAGCUGCACGGGCUGAGAAAGCACUGA